rnacentral:rRNA from 1 species
GAAAUUUGAGGGGAGCUGUCCUUAGUACGAGAGGACCGGGAUGGACGCACCGCUGGUGUACCAGUUGUUCUGCCAAGGGCAUAGCUGGGUAGCUAUGUGCGGAAGGGAUAAGUGCUGAAAGCAUCUAAGCAUGAAGCCCCCCUCAAGAUGAGAUUUCCCAUAGCGUAAGCUAGUAAGAUCCCUGAAAGAUGAUCAGGUUGAUAGGUUCGAGGUGGAAGCAUGGUGACAUGUGGAGCUGACGAAUACUAAUAGAUCGAGGACUUAACCAUAUAA